GCCUGCGUGGUGGAAUGGCUAUAUUUGUCUUCAAUCAGUUAUGACUGACAUUUUAGAGGGUCGUGGGUUCAAUCCCCACCUUAGUCA